rnacentral:lncRNA from 1 species
UGAGAGUCCUUUGGGAAGCCAAAAAGAAAUUCCAUAGAAGAACUACAAUAUAAAAGUAUAAGAAUAAUCAUGGUACACAGGGACAGGUGCAGUCAUUUAUGAUGAGUCACACCCAAUGGAGAAAAUCCUUGGGCAUUCACAGGAGGGCCUUAUCUGAUGCUGUUUUGCCUAUCACUAGUGCCCCAGAAGCUGCCUGCAUGACUGAAGAAUGUAGCAUCCAUUUCUAGGACAAUGGCAGAAUUCUGAGAAACCAGGCCAGGGACCGGCCAUUCUAUUCAAUAUCCACUCAAGACCCUUUGGAGUGCAAGCAUCCCCUGGGUCACAGGACUCUCCAGUGUUUCUCAUUGCCCAGCUCAUUUCUUUGAAGGACUUAGAUGCCCUGACUAAUUAGGUUGUUCCUGCUCAUAUAAUUUUUGCUCAGUUCUCCUUCAUUUCAUACAGAUUUCUGCCAUACAAUCAAAGAUAAAAGAGAAGAAAAUCGUUUUAGGAGUAAGUUGUUAAAAAAAUUCCAAAUAAGGCAUUGGUGCCAGUUCUAGUCCACUUUGCAAAAUUCAGCCAAACUUACCACUCUUCCUUCUCUCUCCACACCCCCUUCAUCCUUUUCCCCAUUCUAACCCACUCUCUGCCCAUUACUCACAAUUUCUGCUCACCCUAUUCCCUGGUAUGGCCAGAUUAGUCACCCCAUACCAGGUUUCCGCAGGGAUGGAAUGGUGACUGUCAUGCUGCUUACGCAGCAGCCCCGGCUGCCAGGUGAGGGCCACCUCUGCUGCUCCCGGAUGAAAAUGGCUUCUGGGCUGUUAGAAGACCAAGCUUGGCCUCAUCUAUGAAACCUCUUUACUAAGGUGGGAGUAGGGAACACUGGCAGAGCAAAUAUUAACUCUGUUUCCUGAAACUGAACAAGCUUCUGGGAGAAAAAUACCUUUUUAAAAAGACCAUUAAGUAAUCCACUAUUCUUCUCUUCUUUCCUCCUCUUUGGUUCUUAAAUGUAAAUUGCCUAGACACUGAAUGCAAGAACUGAAAUUCUCUGAAACUAGGGGGCAAAAUAUUUUGUGUCCUGGAGCUAGAAUUUAUAGCCACAGCUGGGUGUAUUUUCCUCCUGCGUUGUUGUAUGCAGCCCCUUCGGUCCAGCCCUUCCUGUGAGCUGCAGAGGAGAGGCCUAAGCACAGAGCCAGAGGCCUCAAGGCCCUGCUGCUUUGAUAUGUUUCAAUAGAAGGUCAGUUGCCUUUGCUUAGAAAAAUGUGUCUUUUCAGAUGGUAUUUUUGUUGCACUUCUGAUAGAACUUCAGUAUAAAAACCACCUACAGAAAUGUGUGUGCCUCCUACUAUGGAGCUAUUUGAACUAGUUAUAUUGAUCCAAACAGUAUGGUUAAAAGCAUAGUUUGAAUCGGGUUUGUUGUUCUCUCUUUUUCCCCUAUUGGGAAUAUUAAAAUAAUUAUUUAAAAGUAGGUGUCGGGAGUUCCCAUCAUGGCUCAGUGGAAAUGAAUCUGGCUAGGAUCCAUGAGGACACAGGUUCAAUCCCUGGCCUCGCUCAGUAGGUUAAGGAUCCAGCGUUGCCAUGAACUAUGGUGUAGGUGGCAGAUGCAGCUUGGAUCCCGCGUUGCUGUGGCUGUGGUGUAGGCCAGAAGCUACAUCUCCAAUUCAACCCCUAGCCUGGGAACUUCCAUAUGCUGCAGGAGUGGCCCUAAAAAGAAAAAAAAUUAAAAAUUAAAGAAGAUAAUAAAAGUAGGUGUUGUAGGAAUUCCAUCAUGGCUCAGUGGUUAACAAAUCCGACUAGGAAUCUUGAGGUUGAGGGUUCAAUCCCUAGCCUCGUUCAGUGGGUUAAGGAUCUGGCGUUGCCGUGAGCUGUGGUGUAGGUCGAAGACGUGGCUUGGAUCUGGCAUUGCUGUGGCUCUGGUGUAGGCUGGCGGCUACAGCUCCAAUUAGACCCCUAGCCUAGGAACUUCCAUAUGCCAUGGGUACAGCCCUAGAAGAGAAAAAAAAAAAGUAAGUGUUUUAAUCAAUCUUCCACCAUUCUUUAAAGCAGAAGGAGAUGGCUCUUAGAGACCCUGGCUUUGCUCUUUAAUUUCUUCCAUUAUUCAUAUUAAUAAAACCAUUAAAACAAAAAUCUCAUUUAAAAAUGAAUACUUCUAAAUUUCAAUGUAAAUACAAAAAGGAAACAGACUACAUACUAAUAAACUUGAAUUUUUAAAGAUAAAGACUCCAAAAUAUGAUUCUUGUACAUCUUUGAUGGUACAGACAAGUAUUCAAAAUACUGUCUCUGGAUGCUGAGCUCUAAACUUGAUUCUACCAUCAGUCAGAUACCAUGUGGCAUUUUUCCCAUGUAAAAUGAAGGUUAUAUUCCUAAAUUAUCUCUAAAAUGUUUCUUUAAAAUUUUAUGAAUCAUAAUUCCUCUAGAAAUAUUCAGCAGUUUGAGAAACAGUUAUCUUUCCUAGGAAAGUCUAUAUUUUUAAGGAAGUUUUCUGAAAUAAGUCAUAUUGCCGUUAGGUUCCUAGCAUGCUGUAAAAGGAGAAGUAAAGAGUUCCUCCGUAACCAAAAGAAACUUCAGAUCUUGUGGAAGCAUCCUGACACCAUAGGCAGGAAUCACUGGGCAAAUGUAGCUCAGGACCAUCUCCCUGCUUCUUUUUGCCAGAAAAUUUCGUCAGGCUACUGUGACCUCCCAAUCCAGUCUCGACCUCAGACAAUUUUAGUAAAGCCCUGUCUGGAGAUAAUUUUGGCUUCUCUAAAGACUUAGUAAUUUAGGAACUAAGCACAUGACAUUCCCUUUUGAUAAGUCAAGUGUAUUUAAAACUAUUUCAAAAAACUUGACAAAGCCUCUGUCAGAACUCUGUUUUCCCUUCUUUGACUUUCCUCUUUGGAAUGGUCAUGCUUAAUAAUAUUGGGUUACAGGUGAAGAAAACUAUAACAAAGCAAAAACUAUUUAAAUUCAGCUUAAAAAAGACAAUCAGCUCUCGAGACUUUUCUUGUGAACCAAUUACCUACUUCAUUUCUGAAAUUCUCAGAUUUUUCAAUGCAGCUAAUGAACUAUGUCACAUGUUUAAAUCAAACUAUAUUUUAUAGUAAAUAAAUCUUGCCCAUUUUUUCAACAUUUAAAUAUAAAAAACUCAGUGCAUAGACAAAAUAUUCAGAUAUAAAUGAACCACCAUGGGGCUGUAUGUAUUCUAUUGCUACACAUCCAAAAAGUCAUCUAUUGCAUCUUAGUGAAAGAUUCAUCAUUUUGUGUAAAAUCUAGCAUAUUACCACUAAACCCAAAGGAUAUUAUGACUUAAAAUCUCUCAUGAUGUGGCUUCAUCGCUGUUUUUUAAUGGCAGCACUUCAUUAUUGCUUAUAAACUUCAGUGCGGCACUCAGAAGGAUUUAUUUUCAAAGGCAAGAUUCUGCCAGGAUGCUGCUGCUGUUGGAACACUUUGGAGGGAACCCUGAGCUGCCCCAAGGGAGAUUCAGGCACAAAACUGCCAAUUGUUAAGAUUUCAUAGAUUCAGAGUUCUAGAUAUCCAUUUUUCUCUUUGGCGUCACUGAAUUCUAUGUCAGUUCCUCUCUCCACUUAUAAAAUUCAGCAAGGAAACAGCAGCAUUAAAGGGAACUUUUAUUUUCUCACAAAUCACUUUGAGCAAAAUCAAGCUAUCAGUAGAAGACAGAACUUUAAAAAAAAAAUUUAUUCUAAAAAUAUACACACUUGAGAGUACUUGAAGAUGUUCUUCUUAUUGAAGAAUUUUACCUGUAUGUGUCAAAGUAGCUUACUAAAAUUAAUAAUAUUGAACACAUUACUUUUUAAGAAUUUCUAUUGAAAUAUACAAAAAAGUGUACAUAUUUCCUAAGUAUGCAGUUGAAUGAAUGGAAACAAACAUACACACCUGUGGAACUAGCACUAAGAUAAAGAACGUCUCCAGCAUCCUAGAAGUCCCUGUCAUGCUCCCUUCCAGUCAUUCCACCUCUAACCUCAUCCUACCUUUCCUGUAAGAAUAGCCACAAUCCUAACAGCAAAUAUUAGUUUUGCCUCAUUAUGUUCUUUAAAUAAAUGGCAUCAUACAGCAUAUUAAUAUACUCCUUAAUUUUAGUUCUUUUUCUCAGUAUUAUACCUAUAGAGUUUAUUUGUUGCUUCCUGCCAUCGUAUACCAUAUUUUCUUAUUGCUGUUUUCCAUUAUGUAAAUGUUUUGUUGUAUGAUGAUACCACAGUGAUUCUUUUUCUUGUUGAUAAGGUGAUUAGCCAAUUUCCAGUUUGUGACUAUUAUAUAUUGUCAUGCACAUUCUAAUAUGGAUCAUUUCGAUUAUAUGUAUAUAUAUAUAUACACUUAGAAGUGGAAUUGCUGAGCUGUAGGAUAUGUAUAUAUUGUUUUAGUAUAUACUGCUUAAUUGUUUUUCAAUGUACUUGUAACAGUUCACACUUCAGAUAAGAGAUCUCAUUGCUUCAUAUCUUUGUCAGCACUUAAUCCCAACUUUCUUCACUGUAACCAUUUUUGUGGGGAGGUAGCGAUAUCUCCUACUUUUAAUUUGCAUAUCCCUAAUGACUAAUGAAGUUAGGCACUUUUAUGUAUUUAUAGGCCAUUUUAGUAUCUACUUAUAUGAAGUGUCCAUUCAAGUCUUUUGCCCAAUUUUCCUAUUGCGUUAACUUUUUCUCACUGAUCUGUAGGAGUUCUUUACUAUAGAUUCAAGUCCUUUGUCAGAAUAUCUAUAUUGUGGCCAUUAUGACUGGUGUGAAUUUCCAAACCAAACUUAAUGGUUAGGGGGAGGGAUGAAUUAGAAGGUGGGGAUUAACAUGUAUACACUCCUGUAUAUAAGAUAGAUAAGAACAAAGACCUACUAUAUAGCACAAGGAAACCUACUCAAUAUUCUGUAAUAACCUAUUUGGGAAAAGAAUCUGGAAAAGAAUGGGUAUCUGUAUAACUGUUUCACUUUGCUGUAUACCUGAAACUAGACAACAUUGUAAGUCAACUAUACU